ACUCCUGCCCCCGUCUCCUCUCCUGUGCCGUACAGCCGUCACUGUCACUCACAUGCUUUUGUCCACUUAGCGCUGGCGUUUUCGCACUGACGUCAACGUGUCGACGCGAGUCUGCUGUAUAUAACUGCCCGGCAAAGCGCAGACCACCAUUCGCGCUUCUGGUUCCACCGACAGCAAUACAAACGCGUUCUCUCAGCCAUGGCUCGUCUUGCCGCCGUCCUCUGCCUCGUGCUGGUGCUAGCACUGGUGGCUCUCUCCCAGGCCGCCCCGCAGGGCUCUGAAAGCAAUAGGCCGAUCGUUGGCGCCAACCGCUGCACCUGGGGACCCAGCUACUGGUGCAAUAGCCACGCCAACGCAAAGGAGUGCAGCAUGACAGACUGGUGCGUGGAGAAGCAGAUGCUCACUCGCCAGUGAGCCAUCACACCACUGGCCCCGCCAACUGAUUGACCAUUUUUCUGUAUAAUCUAUCUUGAAUUUUUUUCAAACAUAAUAAAAGUACAUGAAAUAUGA